CAAUAUCAGCAGGUUUUGUCUGG
rnacentral:miRNA from 2 species